GAUGAACGCUGGCGGCGUGCCUAAUACAUGCAAGUCGAGCGAACAGACGAGGAGCUUGCUCCUCUGACGUUAGCGGCGGACGGGUGAGUAACACGUGGAUAACCUACCUAUAAGACUGGGAUAACUUCGGGAAACCGGAGCUAAUACCGGAUAAUAUAUUGAACCGCAUGGUUCAAUAGUGAAAGACGGUUUUGCUGUCACUUAUAGAUGGAUCCGCGCCGCAUUAGCUAGUUGGUAAGGUAACGGCUUACCAAGGCGACGAUGCGUAGCCGACCUGAGAGGGUGAUCGGCCACACUGGAACGUAGACACGGUCCAGACUCCUACGGGAGGCAGCAGUAGGGAAUCUUCCGCAAUGGGCGAAAGCCUGACGGAGCAACGCCGCGUGAGUGAUGAAGGUCUUCGGAUCGUAAAACUCUGUUAUUAGGGAAGAACAAAUGUGUAAGUAACUAUGCACGUCUUGACGGUACCUAAUCAGAAAGCCACGGCUAACUACGUG
rnacentral:rRNA from 1 species